rnacentral:rRNA from 1 species
UACGUAGGGGGCAAGCGUUGUCCGGAUUUAUUGGGCGUAAAGAGCGUGUAGGCGGUCUGGUAGGUCCGCUGUGAAAACUCGAGGCUCAACCUCGAGACGCCGGUGGAAACCAUCAGACUAGAGUCCGGAAGAGGAGAGUGGAAUUCCUGGUGUAGCGGUGAAAUGCGCAGAUAUCAGGAAGAACACCCAUAACUAAGGCAACUCUCUAGUACGGUACUGACGCUGAGACGCGAAAACGUAAAAAGCGAACAGG